ensembl:lncRNA
AAAUGACUAUACAUAGAUUUCUAUAUAUGUCCUUGAUAAAUGUAUCUCUUUUGCUAAAAGAGGAAAAAAAAAUAUGUCUGUAUAAAAAGAAUAUUCAAGUGGUCAAACAGUAUGAAAUUAUAUGAAAGUAACAAAUAUGGUGAGUGUGAUUGUGUGUAUGUGUGUGAGCUUGUGUGUUUGCGUGCUUAUGUGUGUGUGUGUGUGUGUGCAUGUGUGUGCGUGAGUGUGUGCGUGUGUGUGUGUGUGUGUGUGUGUGUGCGUGUGUGUGUGUGUGUGUCACCUUUGCCCGUGGAGGAGGGUGCCUUGCUGCUCUCCCUGCUGGCGGCUGAGCUGACGUACGACGGCAGGGACGACUUCCUCUCUGACUCCUCCUGUCCAGACACACGAGUCAGAAAAACAAACACACCUCUCCUUAACCUCACCACGAGUAACAUGUGACCCAGGGGCCGUCUGUCUCCAGAUGCUCUCCUCCGAAGCGAGUUCUGAAACGUGUUGUGACGGAAAAGCUAGGGUCCAGACACAGCACCCUAUCAAACUCCGUUUGAAAUAAUUCAUCAAGAAAUAAUUCAACAUUUUAGUUGUAGUUUUCAUAACCCUAUGGGCCCCAGAUCGGAUCAAUGAUAAAGUACAUGAUGUGACGUAAUUUGUGUGUUUGCAUAAAAUGUCCUGUCUUUAUUUGUUGCUCCUUCAACAGACAUUGAGAAAAACUGUCGAUGAACAGGAGGAGUGUUACUGGAACGGGUCGUUUCCUGUUUACGUCCCUCUGAUGAUGUGGUUGAUGAAGAUAGUUUGGGAGGCGGUAAUGUAAUUAGGGACUUUUUUGGUGAGAUGGCACACCCACGUUGACUCAAACACCCCAUAUCUCUGUCUCUCUCGCACACACACACACACACACACACACAAACGUACACGCACGCAUGCAAACACAUGUACAUACACACCCAAUACCUCUGUCUCUCUCUCACACAGACACACACGCACACACACACACACACACACACACACACACACACACACACACAAUAACACACACACACAAACGUACACGCAUGCAUGCAAACACAUGUACAUACACACCCAAUACUCUCUCUCUCUCUCACACAGACACACACACACACACACACACACACACACACACACACACACACACACACACACACACACACACACACACACACACACACACACACACACACACACACACUACCUUUGCAGCACUGGAGGCAUCGUCCAGUGAUGUGUCCUUGUAGACUUUAGAUUUCUGUCGGGCCAUGGAGAUCCAGCUGGGGGGCUCACUGGGACCACUGGGACCACUGGAACUGCUCGAACCACUUGAACUGCUGGGACCACUGGAAGCACCACGCCCUGUGGAUGCUUCUACACCCAACAGAAACAACAAAACAAACUGAGCAAACAUACUGUGACUGGAUACUAGGGCUAGCAUCUAGGGUGCUGUGACUGGGCCUUGUUCAGUAAGCGGCCAUCUUGGUUCUACAAACAAGUUGUGUCGCUACUGUUUGGAUCCAAAAUGGCCGCUGGGUGGAUACGGCCUGUGGGUUUUCUUUCCGUUUUUUUAUUUUUGCCUUUCCGCUGGUUGAUUGGUCCAACACACACACACACACACACAUGCACGCACGCACACACGUACACAGGUGUCCAGGUUCGAACCCUGAUGUGCCAUGUUCAGGCAAAGCGUCUUUUGUCUCUGAUAAAUCAAGUCCUUCUGCACCUUAUCCGCACACACCAAAUGGUGGUGGAGAGGUCUAGGAAUGACACCCACGACCCAGGCCGUUAAUACUGCUGGGGGCCACCAGGGGGACUCAUGACACAACUCCAUGUGGAGGUCACGUCAGUCCACAGCCUGGGAACCAGACAGAUCUCGUGAGCUCGUCUUUCAGUUGCUGUGCAGAUGAGGUCCGUCCCCCCUCGUAUACAAAGUUCUUUGUAUUUCAACAGAGAUGGCUGCUGCUGAUCUAGAAUCCGUCUGUUGUUUACACUAUCGAGACAGUGUUCAACAAACUGGACAGUAUAUUACAAUGAAAGAGGAAAAGAAGAAUGCACUUGAAGCUUUUGUUGAGUAUCUUUUUUCGUGGCUCAGUGCUGUGUCGCCGUGUCGUUUCUGUAUCGGUUUAGGACCUACCCAAAUAGCGUCGGUGACGGCCUCUGGAAACCCACAAUUUACCGAGAGGUUCCCGACUAAUCACAGUUUGCAUUCGUCGGGUGACAUCAGGCUACCAAGUUGAUGUAUUUGCAUUUUUAUAAGAUGUCGUUAAUGUACACUAAUGCACACGACUACACCUGCUAUCAGAGAAACACAGUACGGCUUCAAGAGCCAAAUACACUCAACGUAAGUGGAGAGGAAUCAACCAUGUAAAAAUGAGGUGGAAAACUAUUGAAGUGAAUUGGUUUAUUCAUACCCAAAGCUCGUGAUUGGACUUCUGGUUUCUUGGGCAGGGCGGGCUUAAUGCUGAUUGGCUGAAUCAGGCAAGGCUUCACACUGAUUGGUGGAGAAGCGACCACCUUGUUGUCCAUUGGCUGGGCUGUUGGCUCAGGGUUUGACGGGGGAGACUGUUGACGAUUUAGAAACAAAUAAUAAUUUACAAAUAAUUUAUAUUUAAUUAAAUAUAUAAAAAAUGGACAUAAAAUCCUUCAGCGACAUAAGAUCCUCCUUCAUUCUCAUCUCCUGUCUCCAGUGACCUGUGACUCCGCCCCCUCUACCACCCAGCCCUGUUCUGACCUGAGGGCCCGCCCCCUCUACGACCCAGCCCUGUUCUGACCUGAGGGCCCGCCUCCUCGCCGCUACGGGGCGGGGCUACCGCCGUCCUCCUGAGCCGGACCCCGAACGGGCUCUCAGGGUUCCCCUUGGCCGGAGCGCCCCCCUCUGUGGAGCGGACGAGACACAGGGUUCAGGAUAAAGAAAGGACUAGUUUAACACGCCAGGACGUACAGCAUACAGAAGAACAUUAAGCCUCAAGCCUCAUGCAAAAGCCAAACGCACCUAGACUUCAUUUGUGUUACAUUAAGUGUGACCUUUGUGGUACAUUAAGUGUGACCUUUGUGGUGCAUUAAGUGUGACCUUUGUGGUACAUUAAGUGUGACCUUUCAGGUGCAUUAACUGUAACCUUUGUGUUGCAUUAAGUGUGAUCUUUUUGGUGCAUUAAGUGUGACCUUUGUGGUGCAUUAAGUGUGACCUUUG